rnacentral:rRNA from 1 species
UACGAAGGGGACUAGCGUUGUUCGGAAUUACUGGGCGUAAAGCGCACGUAGGCGGAUUCGUAAGUCAGGGGUGAAAUCCCGGGGCUCAACCUCGGAACUGCCUUUGAUACUGCGGAUCUCGAGUCCGAUAGAGGUGGGUGGAAUUCCUAGUGUAGAGGUGAAAUUCGUAGAUAUUAGGAGGAACACCGGUGGUGUAAACGGCUUUCUGGACCAUAACUGACACUGAGGCACGAAAGCGUGGGUAGCAAACAGG